GAGACAGCUUGUUCCAUCGCCUUCGGAAACGGGGGAGGAAAGUCCGGGCAACACAGGGCGCCAUACCGCGAUAACUUCGCGGGGGCAGAAGGGGCGACUCAACUGCAACAGAAAGUGCCACAGAGAAUGACAGUCUCGGCCUAGCCGUGAUGAUGGUGAAAAUGUGGGGUAAGAGCCCACGGCAUUGUGCGGUAACGUACAACGCGGGUAAACCUUAUGGGUUGAAAGGCCAAAUAUACUCCGGUGAAGCGGCCCGCUUCUAUAUUCUCACGAAUGUACCGGGGUGGGUAGGCUGAUUGAGCUAAAGCGUAAGUUUUAGCCCAGAUAAAUGAUGGAUUAACACAGAACCCGGCUUACGUAGCUGUCUUUUUU
rnacentral:RNase_P_RNA from 1 species